GACGAACGCUGGCGGCGUGCUUAACACAUGCAAGUCGAACGGAAAGGCCCUGCUUUUGUGGGGUGCUCGAGUGGCGAACGGGUGAGUAACACGUGAGUAACCUGCCCUUGACUUUGGGAUAACUUCAGGAAACUGGGGCUAAUACCGGAUAGGAGCUCCUGCUGCAUGGUGGGGGUUGGAAAGUUUCGGCGGUUGGGGAUGGACUCGCGGCUUAUCAGCUUGUUGGUGGGGUAGUGGCUUACCAAGGCUUUGACGGGUAGCCGACCUGAGAGGGUGACCGGCCACAUUGGGACUGAGAUACGGCCCAGACUCCUACGGGAGGCAGCAGUGGGGAAUAUUGCACAAUGGGCGGAAGCCUGAUGCAGCAACGCCGCGUGCGGGAUGACGGCCUUCGGGUUGUAAACCGCUUUCGCCUGUGACGAAGCGUGAGUGACGGUAAUGGGUAAAGAAGCACCGGCUAACUACGUGCCAGCAGCCGCGGUGAUACGUAGGGUGCGAGCGUUGUCCGGAUUUAUUGGGCGUAAAGGGCUCGUAGGUGGUUGAUCGCGUCGGAAGUGUAAUCUUGGGGCUUAACCCUGAGCGUGCUUUCGAUACGGGUUGACUUGAGGAAGGUAGGGGAGAAUGGAAUUCCUGGUGGAGCGGUGGAAUGCGCAGAUAUCAGGAGGAACACCAGUGGCGAAGGCGGUUCUCUGGGCCUUUCCUGACGCUGAGGAGCGAAAGCGUGGGGAGCGAACAGGCUUAGAUACCCUGGUAGUCCACGCUGUAAACGGUGGGUACUAGGUGUGGGGUCCAUUCCACGGGUUCCGUGCCGUAGCUAACGCUUUAAGUACCCCGCCUGGGGAGUACGGCCGCAAGGCUAAAACUCAAAGGAAUUGACGGGGCCCCGCACAAGCGGCGGAGCAUGCGGAUUAAUUCGAUGCAACGCGUAGAACCUUACCUGGGUUUGACAUGGAUCGGGAGUGCUCAGAGAUGGGUGUGCCUCUUAUGGGGUCGGUUCACAGGUGGUGCAUGGCUGUCGUCAGCUCGUGUCGUGAGAUGUUGGGUUAAGUCCCGCAACGAGCGCAACCCUUGUUCACUGUUGCCAGCACGUUAUGGUGGGGACUCAGUGGAGACCGCCGGGGUCAACUCGGAGGAAGGUGGGGAUGACGUCAAGUCAUCAUGCCCCUUAUGUCCAGGGCUUCACGCAUGCUACAAUGGCUGGUACAGAGAGUGGCGAGCCUGUGAGGGUGAGCGAAUCUCGGAAAGCCGGUCUCAGUUCGGAUUGGGGUCUGCAACUCGACCUCAUGAAGUCGGAGUCGCUAGUAAUCGCAGAUCAGCAACGCUGCGGUGAAUACGUUCCCGGGGCU
rnacentral:rRNA from 1 species